rnacentral:rRNA from 1 species
AGCGCUGGAUCCCUUGGCACGUCAUUCGAUGAAGACCGUUGCAAAUUGCGAUAAAGUGAUGUGAUGCGCAAGUCCACCACUUAUACGUGAAUCAUCGAGUUGUUGAACGCAUUGCACCGCGCCCUAAUCCGGCUGCGGUAUGCCCCUUUGAGCGUCAUUGUAUCCCUUCGGGAGUCCUUUUACAAGGACCCGAGUUCGGAGUCCUCGGUCCUCUCUGGAUCGUGUUCUCUCAGAUCCCUCGCGCCGAUCGCCUGAUGCGUCCUCUAAUGCCUGAGCGUGGAGUUCCUUCAGAGCAAGACGUGCUUGACCGGGUCUUGAGCCUGCGUCACCAAGUCUGCCUAACAAGCAGUACUACAACACAUGACCUCAUUGGGGUAGGACAACCCGCUAGACUUAAGCAUAUUAAUCAG